rnacentral:rRNA from 1 species
CGAACGGGGAGAUUCAUCGUCAGCGACGCUGGCUUCGCGUCGGUGGGCGAUGUCCCGCGGGGCCUCGCGGCCCGCGCGCGGGCACGCUGCCGUGCGUCGAUGUCCGGCGUUCGUCGUCGUGCACUUCUCCCCUAGUAGAACGUCGCGACCCGCUGGGUGUCGGUCUACGGCCCGGGUGCGGUGACUGACGCGUCGCCGGUAAAACGGCACGCGUCAAACCCCCGAUCGCCCGGCCGGCUGCCCGGCGGUACACGCAAGGUAUCAGGCCGCACCUCGUGUGAGUGCGUCGAGGCCGUCGCAAGCGCGCGCCACGGUACCCGGAGGUAAACGGACCUGGCGCCGUCACCGGUCCUGGCCCGCUGUUGGUCGUACGGUUAACCUUCGACAGGCCUGCGAACGUCCCGCGGCCGGCCCCUCGUGGGUCGCGCCGCGGUGACCGAUACCGGUCGGCGACGCUACUGCUUUGGG